rnacentral:tRNA from 2 species
GCGGGUGUAGCUCAGGGGUAGAGCACAACCUUGCCAAGGUUGGGGUCGAGAGUUCGAAUCUCUUCACCCGCUCCA